AGAACGAACGCUGGCGGCAGGCUUAACACAUGCAAGUCGAGCGCCCCGCAAGGGGAGCGGCAGACGGGUGAGUAACGCGUGGGAACAUACCCUCCGGUUCGGAAUAGCUCAGGGAAACUUGGAUUAAUACCGGAUACGGCCUAGCGGCGAAAGAUUCAUCGCCGGGGGAUUGGCCCGCGUCUGAUUAGCUAGUUGGUGGGGUAAUGGCCCACCAAGGCGACGAUCAGUAGCUGGUCUGAGAGGAUGAUCAGCCACAUUGGGACUGAGACACGGCCCAAACUCCUACGGGAGGCAGCAGUGGGGAAUAUUGGACAAUGGGCGCAAGCCUGAUCCAGCCAUGCCGCGUGAGUGAUGACGGCCUUAGGGUUGUAAAGCUCUUUCGCUAGGGACGAUAAUGACGGUACCUAGACAAGAAGCCCCGGCUAACUUCGUGCCAGCAGCCGC
rnacentral:rRNA from 1 species